AACCUCUAUAUCACACUAAUUGACAUCAUCACACUUGGCUGGCCCAGAGAAGUACCUAGUCAUUGUGGCGUUGUGGGCAUGCCUGACUUGUCACUGUAUUCUGGAGGCAAACAGGAAAAUGGUCUUCGUUUUUUUUAAAAAGAAGCCACGUUGUUAGUUUGUGGGAACCUAGCAAGAAGGUGCCAACCUCAGGGGCACCAUGUGACUGCUUACCUGGACCCUUCCAGGCCACCCCUGUGAACCGAGAAAUACUGGUGUCCUUAGGGGGCUGACUUCUCUAGAACUCUCUGGGUUCCUGCCCAGUUAGGAUCACCGGCCGAGACCCAGGCAGCACGGACGUCAACUAGAAAAUGAGCUGUUUCCCAGGGCAGGUGGUCUCUGGCCUGAUUCUGAAGACUAGGAUGAAGAAAAAUGGACUAACAGACUAGACUCGGAGGAACGAGACCAAAACAGAACAACAAAACGGGCACCAUCAUCGCUGUGACAGGAACAUAAACAGGACUUGCCCUUCUGUGUUUCCUUUCCCCUUUCUCUCCUGCUCCAUCCCUAACUCUGCUCCUGGUAUUUGAACUCUGGUUCUAGCUCAAGUUUGCUGGAAAUGCAGACGCUAGAGGGAGGCAGCUGCGCAGGCAGGAGGAGCAAAGGGCAAUUGGGUCUCAAACUUCCUAAUGCUGUGACCCAUGCUGUGGUGUA